UACAUUUAAAGUCUAAUAAGAAAAUAUAAAAAAGCGAGACUAUCACCGUCUUUGUGUCGUAUCUCACAACGGUCUUUGCGAUAUUGGUAUUGUUCAAAGCAAUGUGCGAUGUACGUUUCUGUCAUUCUCAUCAAAAUCUAUCUUUUUCUUUCUUUGGAACGGUGAUACUGAGUUUCUUCGAACACCAUCUUCAUCAUCGCCAGAUAAAUUGUUAGUAUGUCUGAUGGAGAGGGCACUUCAUGGAUAUUUUGGUUCACUAAUCUACGAGGGAACGAGUUCUUUUGUGAAUCUGCAUCUGAGUAAUCAAACUCUACCACUUUUACUCUAGUUCGGCCACCGUGUCGGACUAAAAUUUAAGGGGGUGUUAUUGGAUGGAGGUUUUUAAUGGAUUUGAAUUAUUAGUGGAUUUUAAAGUUCAAUAGAUUUCUAAUGCAUUAGACGAGGAUUUGAUGUCAUUAUAGGUGGAUUUGAAAAGCAUAACUGAUGGAUUUGAAAGUUACUACUAAUGGACUUUUUUUUUUUUAAUGUUGAAGGUAAAUAAAAAAUAUUACUUAUCUAUAAAUUGUGUUGUAAGGAACAUCGACGUACGCUUCCUCUCUUCCCUAUGCAUGGUGAAGAUCACAUAAAUGGUGCCAGCUGGAAGAAUGGCAAAUUGGACAGUCGUGAUUGACAGCUCCAAUGAUCUCCCAUACCGUCGAUGAACUAAGGAUGGCAAGUUCAACUGAACAUGAUGACGAUGAUGACGGUUAUGACGGUGAUGACGAUGAUGAUGACGGUUAUGACGGUGAUGACGAUGAUGACGA